rnacentral:misc_RNA from 1 species
GGGGGAAGAAGAAGAGGAGGGGGAAAGGGGAAAAGAAACCCAAUAAGAGAGGAUACGUUUCUCAAGUUCUGUUCCAGCGGCAAUCGUCGAUCGAUAAAAGCCCAAGUUAACACCUGCAAACAGAGAGACAAAAUAAAUAGCAAAAGUGUUAGUCAAAGUCAAAGCACCAGUACUUUUAUACCAAAAGUCUUACGAUUUAGCAUUGUAUUUUGAUGGGUGAAAUUAUUUUUUUUGAAUAAAAAUAUUAUUUUAAAUAU